rnacentral:rRNA from 1 species
GAUGAACGCUGACAGAAUGCUUAACACAUGCAAGUCGAUUCGAUUUACCUUCGGGUAUUGAGGAUGGCGGACGGGUGAGUAACGCGUAAGGAACUUGCCUCUUGGUCUGGGACAACUGUUGGAAACGACAGCUAAUACCGGAUAUUAUGAGAUUCUCGCAUGGGAAACUUAUGAAAGCUAUAUGCGCCAAGAGAGAGCCUUGCGUUCCAUUAGCUAGUUGGUGGGGUAACGGCCCACCAAGGCGACGAUGGAUAGCCGGCCUGAGAGGGUGAACGGCCACAAGGGGACUGAGACACGGCCCUUACUCCUACGGGAGGCAGCAGUGGGGAAUAUUGGACAAUGGACCAAAAGUCUGAUCCAGCAAUUCUGUGUGCACGAUGAAGGUCUUCGGAUUGUAAAGUGCUUUCAGUUGGGAAGAAGCAAGUGACGGUACCAACAGAAGAAGCGACGGCUAAAUACGUGCCAGCAGCCGCGGUAAUACGUAUGUCGCAAGCGUUAUCCGGAUUUAUUGNGCGUAAAGCGCGUCUAGGCGGAAAAAUAAGUCUGAUGUUAAAAUGCGGGGCUCAACUCCGUAUUGCGUUGGAAACUGUUUUUCUAGAGUACUGNAGAGGUGGNCGGAACUACAAGUGUAGAGGUGAAAUUCGUAGAUAUUUGUAGGAAUGCCGAUGGAGAAGUCAGCUCACUGGACAGANACUGACGCUGAAGCGCGAAAGCNUGGGGAGCAAACAGGAUUAGAUACCCUGGUAGUCCACG